AUUGAACGCUGGCGGCAGGCCUAACACAUGCAAGUCGAGCGAGCGGCGGACGGGUGAGUAAUGUAUGGGGCCUGCCCGAUUGAGGGGGAUAACUACUGGAAACGGUAGAUAAUUACGCAUAUUAUUGGAUAACCCAUAUGUGAUUAGCUAGUAGGUGAGGUAAUGGCUAACCUAGGCGACGAUCCCUAGCUGGUCUGCGAGGAUGAUCAGUCACACUGUAACGUAGACACGGCCCGGACUCCUACGGAGGCAGAGUUGGGGAAUAGUGCACAAGGUGCGCAAGCCUGAUGCAGCCAUGCCGCGUGUAUGAUGAAGGCUCUAGGGUUGUAAAGUACUUUCAGUCGGGAGGCGUUACCGACAGAGGAAGCACCGGCUAACUCCGUGCCAGCAGCCGCGGUAAUUC
rnacentral:rRNA from 1 species